GUCACAUUGUAACUGGCCCCUUCUCAUCUGCCAUCCAAUGUAGAUCCAACGUGUGAGAUUGGCCCAAGUGAAACCAAGCCACAGCUAACAGGGACGGACGAGGGCUAUGGCGGGCAGAAGCUAGGGAUUUGGCGGGAGGCCGCGGCGCGGACGAGAGGGUUGAGGGCGACCGUCUCCGUCGCGGAGGAGAGGAAGGCGAGCCGGCACGCAGGGGAGAGUCUAGGGAGAGAGAGGAAAGCUGCGCAAGUGCCCCUGGAAGCGAGGCAGCUCGGCGCCGUCGCGGAGGAGGAGCUACGCUUCCAUGGAGGAGAGCGACGAGGGGCUCCGGCGUCGCUGCAGAGGAGGGAGGAGAUCCGCUGGCACUGCACCGGGCGAUUCUACGGGAACCUCUCCGGAUGAUUCUGUCAAUUCGGGUGUUAUGCAUUUUUGAAAGUGUUGUGCAAUGGCAGAAAUUGGCAAGAGGACACCUCAAGUUGGUAUGAGGUUCAUAUAUUCGGAUGAGGCUUCGGUGUUUUGGGUAGAAUAUGGUGAGGAAAAGAUGCAUUAACUUAAGCAAAUUUGAUGGAAAAGCGACUUCACACAGAUUUGUGUGUUCCAAUGUGGGCACUAGAAGGAAAGCGCAAACUGAUCGUGAGCCAAAGCGCAAACCUUGUGAUGAUCAUGAUUUUAUUUUAGCAUGUGCAAGUCUAUUAGAUACUAGUAUUUUGGACAGAGUUAAGAAUAGUAUUUUGGGGCUAACUAUAAUCUUUUGUGGCCUAAGUGUACAAGUGAAACAGCCUAAUCUAUGUA